rnacentral:rRNA from 1 species
ACUGGUGGUGACCCCUGAUUAUUGUUUGCAUUUGCAUUGCAUCGAAGAAACAAUUCACCGCGCCCGGUCAGUACCUGGAUGGGAGACCACAUGGGAAAGCUAGGUUGCUGCCAGAA